UACGAAGGGUGCAAGCGUUACUCGGAAUUACUGGGCGUAAAGCGUGCGUAGGUGGUUGUUUAAGUCUGCUGUGAAAGCCCUGGGCUCAACCUGGGAAUUGCAGUGGAUACUGGGCGACUAGAGUGUGGUAGGGGAUAGUGGAAUUUCCGGUGUAGCAGUGAAAUGCGUAGAGAUCGGAAGGAACAUCUGUGGCGAAGGCGACUAUCUGGGCCAACACUGACACUGAGGCACGAAAGCGUGGGGAGCAAACAGG
rnacentral:rRNA from 1 species